CUGGGGCCGAGCAACGAGCACCAGGUGGGCAGGCCCGAGAACGAGCACCAGGUAGGCUGGGCCGAGAAUGAGCACCAGGUGGGCCAGCCCGAGAACGAGCACCGGGUGGGCUGGCACGAGGGCGAGCACCAGGUGGGUCAGCACGAGAACAAACACCGAGUGAGCCGGCCUGGAGCUCUGCCCCUGAGCCCCCGCCCCGCCCGAAGAGAAACACUCCGUCCCAAGGUCUCCGCCCCCAAGACAUCUGAAUAUCAGUUGCGGACUACAGGCUGUUCUAAGUAGACUGCGAGCCCUGGACUUGCUAUGGAUGUGAACCAGUCUGCUGAUGUGGACACCCCCUAUCUCUGCAACAGUGUCUGCUAACCAGAAGCCCCUGAUGGAUUCCCCAUUGCCUAAAUUCCUUUUUGCUUUUGACUAGCAUUUCAACCUUCUGGGGUCCCUAACUUCGUCCCAAAGUCAGCAGGAAGCAGUUUGGAAAGAAAUUUCGCCGUCCAUUUUCCCUGGUUAGAAUGCUAAGUCAAAAGGAGAACUCCCUUGCAUGGGGAUGCGAAACGACAGGGGAUGCUCACUGGAAGCCUUCAUCCUCAUGGGACAAGAUUCAGUUCGUGGCCUCGCUGAUUCCUGGGUGUGUGGGUCUCCCUCUACGAAAGUGCCUCUUCGGGGUCUUUCAGAAAAGACCCACCUUCAAUACAAACAAUCCCAUGACUGGAGUUUGAGGGUGAAUAACAAGAAAACCAGCGGAGCACCAACAUUCAUCUCUGUGCUUCCUUACUGGGUGCAAUGUGAUCAUCCACUUUCUGCUGCUGCUGCUGCUGCUGCUGCUGCUGCUGCCGC
rnacentral:lncRNA from 1 species